rnacentral:misc_RNA from 1 species
GAAUAGGACAAGCUGGUGAACGGUGCGAUCUACAAAACUCUCAUCUUUCUCCAUUGAAGGAAUCAUAGGUUCUGCGAGGAAGAAAAUGGCUGAUCGAUUUUUUCCCAAUGUAAUGCCUGACUUUGUGAAGGAAGAAGAAGCAGCAACCUCAACCCAACAACCACGAGAAGAAGGGACUACUGAUGGAGAUUCUCUUAUGAAUCUUCUCUCUAUGCCUUACCCUACUCUCUCCCAGCGAUUUCAACGCGCUGCCUUGGAUCUUAAAGAAACUAUAGUGGUGGAGACGUGGGGGUUGAGUGGACAGAGCGUGCAAGACUUCACUCUCUAUAGCGGUAGUCUUGGCACCGCCUUCGUUCUCUUUAAAAGCUAUAAAGUUACCAACAAUAAAAAUGAUCUCUUCCUGUGCUUACAAAUUGUUAAGGCCUGCGACUCUGCUUCUCUUGCUUCUAGGGAUGUCACUUUCAUAUGCGGACGAGCCGGUGUUUCUGCUCUUGGGGCUGUUGCAGCAAAGCAUGCUAAUGAUGAAGCAUUGCAAAAUUACUAUCUCAAUCAAUUUGGAGAGGUUAAGCUGUCAAAAAAUCACCCUGACGAGUUAUUAUAUGGAAGAAGCGGCUACUUGUGGGCUUGUGUGUUCUUAAACAAACAUAUUGGCGAGGGCACUAUUCCUCACAAAACUAUACGUGCAGUUGCAAAUGAAAUUAUUAAGAAUGGACGGUCAUUGGCCAAGAAAGGAGGGCCCCCAUUAAUGUAUGAAUGGUAUGGCGAGAGAUAUUGGGGUGCUGCUCAUGGAUUAGCAGGCAUUAUGCAUGUUUUGAUGGAUUUAGAACUGAAACCGGAUGAGGUUGAGGAUGUCAAGGGUACUCUUAUAUACAUGAUCAAGAAUCGCUUUCCCAGUGGAAACUACCCUGCCAGCGAAGAAGAUCUCAAGAGGGAUGUUCUUGUGCAUUGGUGCCAUGGAGCCCCCGGAAUUGCCCUCACACUUGUCAAGGCAGCCAAGGUUUUUGGUGAUAAAGAAUUUCUGCAAGCAGCUGUAGAUGCAGCAGAGGUAGUGUGGAACCGUGGGCUGCUCAAGCGAAUUGGCAUUUGCCAUGGCAUCAGUGGUAACGCAUUUGUGUUCCUCUCAUUGUACCAAAUGACUGGAAACAUAGAGUACUUAUACAGGGCCAAAGCAUUUGCCAGCUUUCUACUUGACAGAGGUCACAAACUUAUAUCUGCUGGAGAGAUGCAUGGAGGCGAUAGCCCAUACUCACUUUUUGAAGGGAAUGGUGGUAUGGCAUAUCUUUUCCUAGAUAUGAUUGAUCCCUCCCGGAGCUAGAUUCCCUGCGUAUGAACUCUGAAAUUCUGAAUUUUUGACAUGGUUUAGUGGGGUUUAAUGCUAAUAUUUCUAUUGGUGUAGUACAAUCUUUUGAGUACCAUAUCAGAAUGUAAUAUUCAUGUGAAAUAUACUUCAUAAGUUGGUUUAAGUUUGGCCAAGGUAUUGUGCUCUGUCUAGGACGAGUUUUAAAGGACAUUAUCUUCAUCAGAAAGGUAAUGUCUUGCUACCACAUUGUAGAAGCUAACUUUAAUUGCAGAUAAAAUUAAUUUACAUUACAAGUUUUUAUCACAAAAAAACUUGUAAUGUAAAUUAAUUUUAUC